rnacentral:lncRNA from 1 species
AUCAAAAAGAUCGAAGAUAACAUAGGCGAAUUUCUCUAGUCUUCUGUCUCAUUGUUCCUGAAGGUGGCCUUGUUAGUAGAACCCAGAAUACAUUUAACCAUUUUAGGAGCAGUGGUGUGCUGGAGACCAAUGGUAUGUCGAAUAAGAAACUAUGCCCUUCAAGUGCAUGGAAAUGAUCUAAUACUUUCACUAUUUUUAUUGAGAAUCAUUGACCUUCUGCCACCUUCAGGUCUCUGAUCUUUGGGAGCACUCUGAAAUCCAUUAAUGGGGUCCAGCUGAGGCCAUUUUCCCAUGGGAUUUCCAGCCAAUGACUGAACAUGGUAGGGAUUCUAAGCUUCAGACAACUUCGCCAUAGCCACCUGGAUAAGAAGAAAACACCAAUGCUAGAUCUCAUAAGGCAGCCAUAAUCUAAUUUCCAUAGGCUUCUUUCUAUUGUGAAGUGUUACCUUGAGGAAGAACGUGUGGGGAAUGUUGGAGCAGAAAAAUAAAAAGAAUGCAAGUAUUGAUGAUUUGAUGGACCCACUCAAUUAACCAGUCCUGGAACUGCUCUAUCUCUGACAUUGUUGAAAUGAGACAUAUUAAGACAUCAUUUCAAUUUAAGCCAUUUUGGGGUUGAAUUUUCUUUUAUUUGCUACCAAAAACAUCAUAACUAAUGUCUCCUUACUGCUUCCUGAGAAAGGCAGAAAGUUCUCAGGGAUGACAAAUGGAGCUUCACUGAUUCGAUAAUAGUUAAUGGUUGCUGUUCCUUGGUGGUUUAUAUACUUGGCUGAAUAGAUUCUCUGCUCAAUAGCUGAGAAGAUGAAACGACUUUCCCUGAAGCCAAAAAAUGAUAUCAAAGGUAUUAUCACCUACUAUGACAUUUUUGUGGCCUUCAUUUUUCUCAGCAGCAAGCGGUGAAAAAUCUUUUCUGAAGGAGAUAAUCAUGGUCAAAAUGGAUUGCAAUUCCAACGUCUGGAUUGUCCAAUGAUUUGUACAAAAAGUUGCAGCAAAGUGAUUCCUCUUCUUGUUAGUUUAAGGAGGACUAAGUUUCAAAUUGCUCCAUAAUGAUGGGUUUAAUACAUAUCUGAUUCAAAACUCUUGCGUAAGGAAACAUUUCGGGUCAAAAGUUUAUAUUAAGCCCCACAAAGUCCAAUAUACCCUAAAAUGUAUUCUGCGUUAUAAGAUAUUUUAAGAUCACUGACUUCUAGUCUAUAUUCACCCACUUCAUAGAAAGGGGUAAUCUUUUUGAGCCUCAACACUUGCUUAUACUAUAUGAGGACUUUUCUAAUUCAUCUCAAAGUCUUUCAUGCCUUUCCAAUCGUGUUGUAUUAUUUGACAUUUUCUACUAUAGUACUUUAUAAUAAAGUGAGCAAGCUAAAUAGAUUUUUAGAGAUAAAUACAUCUGAUCAAAUAAUGCUGUGUAUAUUAUGUUAAGACCAUUUUUGAAAUUUCCGAGAAAUUUUCAUAUAUUUUCCUGCCAUCAUAAAGGUUCAUAGAUAUAAUUAUCUCAAAAUUUCAAUUUUUAUGGUAUUUCGUAGCAAG